rnacentral:rRNA from 1 species
CUAUAAAUCUUAAUACAACUUUCAACAACGGAUCUCUUGGCUCUCGCAUCGAUGAAGAACGCAGCAAAUGCGAUAAGUAAUGUGAAUUGCAGAAUUCAGUGAAUCAUCGAAUCUUUGAACGCACCUUGCGCCCUUUGGUCCUCCGAAGGGCAUGCCU